rnacentral:rRNA from 1 species
AUUGAACGCUGGCGGCAUGCCUUACACAUGCAAGUCGAACGGUAACAGGUCUUCGGAUGCUGACGAGUGGCGAACGGGUGAGUAAUACAUCGGAACGUGCCCGAGAGUGGGGGAUAACGAGGCGAAAGCUUUGCUAAUACCGCAUACGAUCUCAGGAUGAAAGCAGGGGACCGCAAGGCCUUGCGCCCACGGAGCGGCCGAUGGCAGACUCGGUAGUUGGUGGGAUAAAAGCUUACCAAGACGACGAUCUGUAGCUGGUCUGAGAGGACGACCAGCCACACUGGGGCUGAGACACGGCCCAGACUCCUACGGGAGGCAGCAGUGGGGAAUUUUGGACAAUGGGCGCAAGCCUGAUCCAGCCAUGCCGCGUGCAGGAUGAAGGCCUUCGGGUUGUAAACUGCUUUUGUACGGAACGAAAAGACUUCUUCUAAUAAAGGGGGUCCAUGACGGUACCGUAAGAAUAAGCACCGGCCAACUACGUGCCAGCCGCCGCCGUAAAAC